GCGGGUGUGGCGGAAUUGGCAGACGCGCUAGAUUUAGGUUCUAGUGGGAGUUCCCGUGGGGGUUCAAGUCCCCCCACCCGCA
rnacentral:tRNA from 2 species